rnacentral:lncRNA from 1 species
UACGCCAACAACUAAUGCAUUGAGGACAUAUCCGAAGCAGAUGACGGAGAAGACAAAAUACCCAUAAUGUCAACAAUUGAAAGACUUAUUCAACUUGCACCAUUGCAAUUAUUGCAACCGAAAAGAAGAUAUUCCUAAAGUUUAUCUUCCAAAUACUAUGGAAAAAGACAAAGAAGAAGAAGACAAAGAGCAAAAUGAAGACUAAAAGAGUUUUCUGUAAAAAGUCUUGGAAUUUUCAAAAUUUGUAGUAUUUUAGUUUAGUCUUGUUAGGCUAGUAUUUUAGUCUUA